CAGACAUAGAAAACAAACUUGUGGUUACCAGGGGGGAAAGUGGGGGUAUAAAUUAGGAUCCUGAGAUUUGCAUAUACAAACUACUAUUUACAAAAUAGAUAAACAACACGGUCCUACUGUAUAGCACAGGGAACUAUAUUUAAUAUCUUGUAAUAAACUAUAAUGGCAAAGAAUU